GCCCUUGCGGCGUGCUUACACAUGCAGUCGAACGCUGAAGCUUGGUGCUUGCACUGGGUGGAUGAGUGGCGAACGGGUGAGUAAUACGUGAGUAACCUGCCCUUGACUCUGGGAUAAGCCUGGGAAACUGGGUCUAAUACUGGAUAUGACCUCCUGUCGCAUGGUGGGGGGUGGAAAGGGUUUGUACUGGUUGUGGAUGGGCUCACGGCCUAUCAGCUUGUUGGUGGGGUAAUGGCCUACCAAGGCGACGACGGGUAGCCGGCCUGAGAGGGUGACCGGCCACACUGGGACUGAGACACGGCCCAGACUCCUACGGGAGGCAGCAGUGGGGAAUAUUGCACAAUGGGCGCAAGCCUGAUGCAGCGACGCCGCGUGAGGGAUGACGGCCUUCGGGUUGUAAACCUCUUUCAGCACGGAAGAAGCGAAAGUGACGGUACGUGCAGAAGAAGCGCCGGCUAACUACGUGCCAGCAGCCGCGGUAAUACGUAGGGCGCAAGCGUUGUCCGGAAUUAUUGGGCGUAAAGAGCUCGUAGGCGGUUUGUCGCGUCUGCUGUGAAAGCCCGGGGCUUAACCCCGGGUGUGCAGUGGGUACGGGCAGACUUGAGUGCAGUAGGGGAGACUGGAACUCCUGGUGUAGCGGUGAAAUGCGCAGAUAUCAGGAAGAACACCGAUGGCGAAGGCAGGUCUCUGGGCUGUUACUGACGCUGAGGAGCGAAAGCAUGGGGAGCGAACAGGAUUAGAUACCCUGGUAGUCCAUGCCGUAAACGUUGGGCACUAGGUGUGGGGGACAUUCCACGUUUUCCGCGCCGUAGCUAACGCAUUAAGUGCCCCGCCUGGGGAGUACGGCCGCAAGGCUAAAACUCAAAGGAAUUGACGGGGGCCCGCACAAGCGGCGGAGCAUGCGGAUUAAUUCGAUGCAACGCGAAGAACCUUACCAAGGCUUGACAUACACCGGAUCGGCUCAGAGAUGGGUUUUCCUCCUUGUGGGGCUGGUGUACAGGUGGUGCAUGGUUGUCGUCAGCUCGUGUCGUGAGAUGUUGGGUUAAGUCCCGCAACGAGCGCAACCCUCGUUCUAUGUUGCCAGCACGUGA
rnacentral:rRNA from 1 species